GGAAAGAACGGAUAGAACCUCCACAGAGACAGAAACACAGGGCAGAAAAUUAGGUGACAGUUGAAAAACAACAACGGAAAGCACGGAUAGAACCUCCACAGAGACAGAAACAUAGGGCAGAAAAUUAGGUGACAGUUCAAAAACAACAACAGAAAGAACGGAAAGAACGGAAAGAACCUCCACAGAGACAGAAACAUAGGGCAGAAAAUUAGGUGACAGUUGAAAAACAACAACGGAAAGAACGGAAAGAACCUCCACAGAGACAGAAACAUACGGCAGAGAACUAGGUGACAGGUCAAGAACAGCAACGGAAAGAACGGAAAGAACCUCCACAGAGACAGAAACAUAGGGCAGAAAACUAGGUGACAGGUCAAGAACAACAA
rnacentral:lncRNA from 1 species